rnacentral:rRNA from 1 species
UACAUAAAGCAAAUGGUGGAUGCCCUGGCACUAGAAGCUGAUGAAGGACGUGUGCUAAAUCACGAAAGCGUCGGUGAGACAUUAUGCAGUCAUUAUCAACCGGCGGUUUCCUAAUGGGAAAACCCACUCUUUCCGCAAGGAUCGAGUAUCCCGAUGCUCUUUAAGAGCCGUCGGGAGGGGAACUCGGGGAACUGAAACAUCUAAGUACCCGAAGGAAAAGAGACCUAUAUAGGUAUUCCGUUAGUAGCGGCGAGCGAAAACGGAGAAGCCCAAACCCCGCCUUUGGCGGGGGGUUUCGGACUCUGCAUCAAUAUUCUUUUUCAAUAUCAGAACGUUUUGGAAUGGACGACCAUAGAGAGUGAAAGUCUCGUAAGGCAAAUUGAGAAAGAGUAUGCGGAUGUUCCAAAGUACCACGAAGCACGGCAACUUUGUGGGAAGACGGCCGGGCCACCGGCCAAGGCUAAAUACUUCUAGUGACCGAUAGUGAACUAGUACCGUGAGGGAAAGGUGAAAAGUCCCCCGGAAGGGGAGUGAAAUAGUACCUGAAACCGUUUGCUGACAAGCAGUCAGAGCCCCGCCUCGGCGGGGUGAUGGCGUGCCUAUUGAAGAAUGAGCUAGUGAGUUUUCAACUGUCGCAAGCUUAAUCCCAUAAGUGGGAGGAGGCAUAGCGAAAGCGAAUCCGACCUUGUGUCGGAUAGGUCUUAAAAGGCCUUCGUGGCGGUUGGAAGACCCGAAACCAGGUGAGCUAGUCAUGGACAGGGUGAAUCCUGAUUAAUUUUGGGAGGAGGCCCGAACCCGUUGCCGGUGAAAAGGCUUGGGACGAUCUGUGAUUAGGGGUAAUAUGCCAAUCGAACCUGGAGAUCGCUGGUUCUCCUCGAAAUGUGUUUAGGCACAGCGUUAAAUCUUAAACUUUGCAGGUAGAGCUACUGAAUGAAGCUGGGGACUUUAUUGUUCUCAGCCUCAACCAAACUCCGAAUUACAAAGCGUAUGAUUUAGCAGUGAGUCCGGCUCGGAUAAGCGAGUCAGGGCAAAAGGGAAACAUCCCAGAUUUCCGUUUAAGGUCUUUAAAUAAUUUCUUAGUGGUAAAGGAAGUAAAAAUCCAUAGACAGUCGGGAGGUUGGCUUAGAAGCAGCCAUCCUUUAAAGAAAGCGUAACAGCUCACCGAAGAAGGAUUUUUGCGCCGAAAAUUAUCGAGGCUAAGUUAUUUACCGAAAGCGAAAAUUGUCCCACCUUUGGUGGGAUAGUGGUAGAGGAGCGUUCCGCUGACAGUGAAGAUAAACCGUAAGGUUUGUUGGAGUUUGCGGAAGUGAGAAUGCUAGCAUGAGUAGCGUGACAAUCCCGAUGAGAAUUCUGGACGCCGAAAGUCUAAGGUUUCCUACGCAACGUUCGUCGACGUAGGGUUAGGCGGAACUAAGGCAAACCCCGUUUAUGACGGGGGUAGCACGAUGUACAACUGAUUAAUAUUUCAGUCCUUUUAGUGGGUUUUGUCUCUAAAUUGACGGAUUUGUAACUUUCAAGCAUCACCAUUUGAUCAUGUGAUGUAGACGAUUCUGGUCGAUAGACCGGAAUUGAAUCAAUCCUCUCGCUUAGGUGAGGGGAAAGUUGAGGGGAAGAAUUCCCAGAAAAGGUUUAGAGAGUCGCCCAUUGAAAUCCGUACCGUAAUCCGACACAGGUAGACUGCCAGUAGACUGGUAAGGCGUGCGAUUUACAGUAGUUCAAGGAACUCGGCAAAAAAGCUAGGCGUAACCUUUGGGAGAUGCCUUGUCCCAACCUCGCAAGAGCGUUGGGAUCGCAGCUAAUGUUUGUCAACCGACUGUUUAACAAAAACACAGGUCUCUGCAAACCCUUACGGGGAAGUAUAGGGACUGAAACCUGACCAGUGCCGGUAAGUUAACUACUGGGAGUGAUCUCCACUUUUAUAGUGGAAUGAGCUCCUGGUAUAAGCUCCGGUAAACGUCAGCUCUAACUCUGAGAGUUCUAAGGUAGCGUAAUCCCUUGCCGGGUAAGUUCCGGCCCGCAUGAACGGACCAACGAGUUGACAACUGUCUUGAACUGCUAAUCGGCGAAAUUGAAAUGGCUGUGAAGAUGCGGCCUACUUGUACCAGGACAAAAAGACCCCAGAAGCUUUACUGUAGCUUAAUAUUGAGAAGAGAUUUCUGACUGUCGAGCGUAGGAGGGAGCCUUCGGGCAUCAAUGGAACACCUCUCUUCAGAAACCUUGACUCUAACCCCUUUUUUAGGGAGACCAUAUUUGGCGGGCAGUUUUGCUGGGGCGGCAACCUCCAAAAUUGUAACGGAGGCGUACAAAGGUACCCUUAUUCCGUAAAGAAACCGGAAUUAAUGUGUAAAGGCAGAAGGGUGCUUGACUGCAAGGCAAACAAGCCGAGCAGAGACGAAAGUCGGUCUUAGUGAUCCUCGAUUCCNNNNNNNNNNNNNNNNNNNNNNNNNNNNNNNNNNNNNNNNNNNNNNNNCUGUAGAAGGUUCCAAGGGUUGGGCUGUUCGCCCAUUAAAGCGGUACGCGAGCUGGGUUCAGAGCGUCGUGAGACAGCUCGGUCUCUAUCCGGUACAAGCGUUUGGAUUCUUGAGGAGGCCCUUCUCUAGUACGAGAGGACCGAGAAGGAGCAAUCCCUGGUGUACCAGUUGUCCCUGAUCUGGGGCACUGCUGGGUAGCUAAAUUGCUAUUUGAUAAGUACUGAAAGCAUCUUAAGUACGAAGCAUACUCUAAGAUAAGGAAUCCACAGGUCCCUCGAAGAUUACGAGGUAGAUAGGCGGUCGGUGUAAGUUCUGUAAGGAAUUAAGCCAAGCCGUACUAAUGACC